rnacentral:lncRNA from 1 species
ACCUUUUGUUCCCUUUCUCUGAACACCGGCGGGUUGUCGUUAAUGUCCUUCACCUCCACGUCCACAUGGAAAACCUGCAGCGGCCUGUCCACGAUCACCUCCAGGUGGAUACUGCACUCCGCGCUCCGCCCGCACAGCUUCUCGCGGUCGAUCCGAGAAUUCACAAACAAAAUGCCAUUCUGCAGAUUUACCUCCAGAAGGUCCCCGUGUCUUUUGGACGCCACCCGGAACAGGCGCGGCACCAGCUCCGCCAGCUCCAGCCCCAGGUCCUGAGCGAUGCGGCCCACGAAGGUGCCGUGUUUGGCCUCCUCGUAGACGGAGUAGUGGAGCUGGCCGCUCCCCACCUCCCAGGCUGCAAGGAGCAGAAGCGAGAGCAGCAGACGCUGGGAUCCCGGGCCUCUUGGUCCGAUAAUCACCAUUGCAGAAAAUGAGGGCCUCUGAGUUGGGACAAUCAGUUUUAAGGGAUCGCUUGCCUGAGGUAUUUUAUGAGCAGUCACCCUUUUCUGUAAGUACAUAUUUAGUAAAUUUUUUCCAGCAUCACAGUCAUUAUGGAGUCGAUCCUAUUCCGUGAAUGAUUGGAAUGUGGGUGCGGAGAAAAAAAUUUUCCUGUUUCACCUUCUGAGUGUAGAGCGACAUCAUGUGACUGAUUAUACCUAGAGGAAGACUGGGGCUGAAGGCCAUGAGGUCCGUCUUAGGUGGGCCCUCCUCAGAGCACACCCUCUGCCGCCUCUGCUGCGAGUAUGACCAGCUCCCCACCGCGCGGGAGCACACCAGCGUGGGCUUCCCCGGCGCGCACGCGCCCUCAGUGGGCGUUGCCGACCACCACAGCGCCGUAUACAGCAGCAGCGUGAGUACCAGGAGGCUGGACACCACGCAGAUGGCGAUGAUCAGGUACACGUUGACAUCCACCAGCGCAGCCUCUGGGCUCGCGGCGCCCGCCAAAGUCCGGGAAGAGGCCUUUGGCGCCUGUCCGCUCUCCACCAACGACACCAGCACGGUGGCCGUGGCCGUCAGCGCCGGCUCACCGUGAUCCUUCACCAGUACUAGAAGUCGGUGGCGCGGCGAGUCUGCCUCGUCCAGGGCACGCGUUGUGCUUAUCUCGCCCGUGUACAGCCCCACGCGGAACGGGAUGCGCGAGCCGCCCGCCGCCGGCUGCAAUUCAUAUGAAAGCCACGCGUUGUAGCCUGAGUCCGCAUCCACUGCGCGCACCUUCGCCACCACGUGGCCCGCACCCACCGACCGCGGUACUAGCUUGUUAACUGCGCCUCCCGCGCUGCCAGCCUGAGUCGCCAGCAGUGCCGGCGCGUUGUCGUUCUCGUCCAGCACGAACACCUGCAGCGUCACGUUGCUGCUCAGAGGCGGCACGCCCGCAUCGCGCGCGCUCACCUGGAACUGUAGCAGCUCCAGCUCCUCGUGGUCCAACGGCUGCAGCGCGUACACCUUGCCGCUCUCCGCGUGCACCGACACGUAGCUCGACAGCGCGCGGUCGCCCAACCGCCGCUCCACCAGCGAGUAGGACACCAGCGCGUUCUCCUGCGCGUCCGCGUCCCGCGCCGACACUGUGAAGAUGUGGCAGCCUGGUGGGUUGUUCUCCUUCACGAACACGGUGUACUCGGGCUGUGCGAACGCAGGCGCAUUGUCGUUCACGUCGGCCACCUCCACGGAUACCCUGGCCGUGGCCCACAGAGAAGGCGAACCCCCAUCCCGCGCAGUCACCACCAGUUCAUAGGCCCACACGUUCUCGCGGUCCAGGGCGCUGUCCAGCACCAACGAGUAGUAAUUCUUGAAGGUGGACACCAGCUUGAAGGGAACGUGGGGCGUCAGCGAGCAGGUCACCUGUCCGUUGACACCUGAGUCACGGUCAGACACGCUGAUCAGGGCAAUGACCGUGCUGGGCUGAGCGUCCUCUCGUACUGGGAGGGACAAGGAAGUCACGGCGACUUCAGGAGAGUUAUCGUUGGUGUCCAAGAUUUCCACCCAGACUGUACAGUGACCUGCCAUUGGGGGAGUCCCCUUAUCUGUAGCCUGUACUUCAAUUUUAUAAAACUUGUUUUCUUCAUAAUCUAAAGUUCCAUUGACCCUCACUUCUCCAUUAUUUUGAUCUAGUGUAAAUAAGUGUCUUCCAUUGGGCUUAAUUGACAUUAAGGAGUAUGUUACCUCUCCAUUGACUCCUUCGUCUCGGUCUGUGGCGUUUAGUUUGAGCACAAGAGUUUCUUUAGCAGCAUUUUCCAUAAGGCUCACCUUAUAUUCUGAUUUAUCAAACUCUGGAUCAUUGUCGUUGACAUCCAAGACUUGGACUAACAGCCGAACGGUGCCAGUAAGCUCUGGUUUUCCCCCGUCUGUAGCUGUUAGCAGCAAAUUAAGUUCCGGAGUUUUCUCUCUAUCCAGAGACUUCUUUAAAAUAAGUGACAGUCUUUUAAUCUGCUUACCAUUUGUUGGUGAAUCUAAAGAAAAAUACUCAUUUUUACUUAGCCUGUAGGUCAAUAGAGCAUUCUCUUCAAUGUCAGCAUCAGAAGCUCCCUCUAGUGGAAAACGCGAGUCCGAUUGCUUAGAUUCCGCAAUCAGCAGCUUUUGUUCUCUGAGCGAGAACACCGGCGGGUUGUCGUUAAUGUCCUUCACCUCCACGUUCACAUGGAAAACCUGCAGCGGCCUGUCCACGAUCACCUCCAGGUGGAUGCUGCACUCCGCGCUCUGCCCGCACAGCUCCUCGCGGUCGAUCCGAGAAUUCACAAACAAAAUGCCAUUCUGCAGAUUUACCUCCAGAAGGUCCCCAUGUGUUUUGGACGCCACCCGGAACAGGCGCUGCACCAGCUCCGCCAGCUCCAGCCCCAGGUCCUGCGCGAUGCGGCCCACGAAGGUGCCGUGUUUGGCCUCCUCCGAGACGGAGUAGUGGAGCUGGCCGCUCCCCACCUCCCAGAAUUCGAGGAGGAGAAGCCAGAGCUGUAGUCGUGGGGUGCCCAAUCCCCUUCUCUGAAAACCAAACAUCGCAUACGAAAUUGGCUUCCAAAAUAAGCUUCUUUACACUUACAGUACCAGAUUCUUCAGUUUCAGGUUAAAAAUCUCGUUGAAUUCUUAAGAAGUUUCAAAGGAUCCUUAAACGGUGGCAUCCGGUAUGAUGGAGUUCCUUUGUAUGGGAGUGCCUCACUGUUCAGACCAACCUUUAAAUGAACUUUCCACCAAGUAAAGAGCGACACCUUGCGCCUAAAACUGUGAGUACUGUGCACUGCAUUUACCACCACAGAAUUUCACGUGUUUUGGGUUUCUUCCCCCAAAUAUUUCCAACGUGCUUAUUUAUGGAAUAUUCAGAUUAUAAGUCAUAUUGAAACUAAAUAUAUAUGGAAAUGGCAUUGUAUUUCUCGAUUAACAUCAAAUUUAAAUUAUUGUGUCUAUGUUUGACUUAACAUUAUAACAUUGUUCUUUUACUUAUCUAAAAUACUUAUACACAGAGUGAGAGAGAAAGAGAAUUCAGUUGUUAAGGUGGCCUCAUGAAAAACUAGGGUUAAACAUUUCCUGAAAGUGUUGUUCCUCAUAUAAAAAUACUAUCAAAUUUGAAUUGUUUUACUUUCAGUCUCCCUUGUUACUUUGGCUGCUAGGGAACUCAAAGAAAAAAUUGAAGUUUUAUAAAAGCAGCUCUUUAGUGUUUAUGUUCCACAUGAUCUAUUCUCAUCUCUGUGGGCUUGCAUUUUCAUAUCUAUUUUCUAUAGUUCUCAUUCUUUACUGUUAUUUACAUUUAAUUGCUUUCUGAUUAUAAGUGACUUUAUAUUCAUUGCAGAACAAUAUGAAAAACAAAUAUAUUCAUAUUCUCAAACUUGGUAGUUUUAAAAAAGAAUCCACAAAGGAAAAGUCUAUUGAUCUAGAUGAGUUUUUAUUUGACAUAUAUUAUUUCUAAUGUAAGCCAUAGUAGCAUAAUAUGAGAUAUCAAAAUUUAGCACUUUAUGUAACAGAAUCAAUGAUAUGACAGAAAUAGGCUUUUCAACUAUAAAAUAAAUUUUAUUAUCAUUUUAUAAAAUAAAUAAAAUCACCCUGAACAUC